UACAGAGGUCUCAAGCGUUGUUCGGAUUCAUUGGGCGUAAAGGGUGCGUAGGCGGCGCGGUAAGUCGGGUGUGAAAUCUCGGAGCUUAACUCCGAAACUGCAUUCGAUACUGCCGUGCUUGAGGACUGGAGAGGAGAGUGGAAUUCCCGGUGUAGCGGUGAAAUGCGCAGAUAUCGGGAAGAACACCCGUGGCGAAGGCGGCUCUCUGGGACGGUACUGACGCUGAGACGCGAAAGCGUGGGGAGCGAACAGG
rnacentral:rRNA from 1 species